GGGCUUUCUUUGCAGCCUCAUAUCCUAUGGAACCUUCUCAGACAUUUCCCAGACAUGUUCUAGGAUCUGUCAGGCCUUGACUAGAUUAAAAGGAAAAAAAAAAGUAAAAAUAAAAAAAGAAAGUAGGAAAGAAAAAAAAAUCUGGAGAGAAAAAAAAAAAAAUCUUCCACCCACCAAAAUAAACCAGGCCAACGAUUUUUCUACCGCAUUCUUCAUGCGAGCAAAGAGGUGGUGUUUAUUCCAAACAAGCCCUUUUCUCCAAGUUGCCACUCAUUCUCUCUUUCAUGGGAUCCAGGAAAAAUCAGCCUUCAACUGCCACUGGAUAUCUUUGCACGUAUGAGUAUUUAGAAAAAGAGCCACCUAUUACCACAGGGUUUGGAUUUAGAUUGUGGAUACAAAUAGAGGGCAAACAAAACCAACCAACAAACAAAAAACCUUGUGGUUUGGAUCUAAAAAAAAAAAAAAAGUCUCAGAAAUGACAACUGUGUGGUAAGUCUGAUGUCAAACUGUCUUAGCUGGCAAGGUGUCUGGGAUGCUCUAAAACUGUGAGGGUGUUUGGAAUCUAGGGCUAACAGAUGUCUCACUCUGCUUGAAAGAUGUCGAGAUGCUAUUCCUGAGGGCCUAUGCUUACCCUUGGGGACACGGCUGCUGAUAGUUUUACAGAAAAAAAAAUCCCCAAGCUGGCGACCAUAUAUACAGUCCUUUUCCAUCAAGAAAAGGACUGGGGGAGGGAAGAAAAAAAACAAACAAAAAAAAAGCAGUCAAGCUGAGGCCUUAAAAAAAAAAUUCAAAAUCAUGCACGCAAGACCCAUGAGGUGAGUCCCUGUCUUCAACUCAGAUCUGUUUGGUGGGAGUUGCUCUGCACUCAUGGACAAAGGAACAUUCAUUCUUGUUUGCAUUAGGUGAGAUAAUUGUGGGCGGGCAGGCAGUCACGUCCAACAGGAGAAAUGAACCAAUCUUUUCAGACGGCAAUUAUUGAGGGAAGUAAACGCUCCUCGGCAGGGGCGAGAGUCCCAAGACUUCCUAGCUGUUGAGUGUCUGGGAGAGAGGGCACGCGCCUAGCUUCUCCCUCAUCUGUACUUCACACACGCAGUCCUGAGCAGGCAGCUCGUCCUCCAGCAGCGUUGGAGGAGAGCUAAGAUGUUUCCCGGCCCAGCCUAAAAAUAUCUCCCUUGACAACCUGUCACAGUGUCUGAGAUUCCACCAUUAUAAAUUCAUUCCUCUCUGUUAAGGCGUUUUGUUUCCAGGAGUUCUCGGUUAAAAUACAGAUAUCCGAGAGCUCUGAGCUCAACUGAGACAGAGGGAGACCACAGCCCGGGAGUCGGGAGACCUGGGUUUCUGAUUCGGUUCUGCCGAGACAUUUGUGUGAGCUUGGGUGCAUCAUUUUCACUUCCUGAAUCUCAGUUUCUCCACUGAUAAAAAAGAAAAAAGCAGAGAGUUCCCAUCGUGGCUCAGCAGUAAUGAAUCUGGUUAGUAUCC
rnacentral:lncRNA from 1 species